rnacentral:rRNA from 1 species
GCAAUAGCUACUUGCAUCAUUGUAAAUAUGAUGCAAGAUCGACUAUGUCGAAUAAAAUUCUAGGUAGAAUUAUGAUAAUGACAUUGUCUGCCUAUGUGUCUUGACCAAAUUACGUGCCAGCAGUCGCGGUAAUACGUAGAAGACUAGUGUUAUUCAUGUUUAAUCGGUUUAAAGGGUACCUAGACGGUAAAUCAAGCCUAAAAGGAAAUAAAUGAAGGGACUAAUUUACUAGAGUUACUUAUGAGGGGGUAUUAAAGUACUGCUGGUGUAGAGAUGAAAUUCUGUCAUACCUCUUUUCAAUAGAAAAAUAAUGGCACAGGUAUAGGCGAAAGCAUCCCCUUAUGUGAUAACUGACGUUGAGGGACGAAGGCUUUGUGUAGCGAACAGGAUUAGAUACCCCAGUAGUCAAAGCAGAAAAUGAUGAAUGUCAUAGAUUAGAUAUAUAAGUUUAUUCUAUAAAUGAAAGUGUAAGCAUUCCACCUCAAGAGUAAUUUGGCAACAUUGGAACUGAAAUCAUUAGACCGUUUCUGAAACCAGUAGUGAAGUAUGUUGUUUAAUUUGAUGAUCCGCAAAAAACCUUACCACAAUUUGAAUAUUUAUAUCUUUUAUUGUUUUUCUUUUUAACUUUGUUCUGAUUUUCUACUUAAAAGAAAACAAUAACAAGAAAAAAGAGGCAAUA